rnacentral:lncRNA from 1 species
UGUGUGUGUAUUGGCUUGGUAUUCGGUCAUACCAUGGUGACUUAUGUCAAGGAUUUAUAAAUACUUAUUGUGUAAACACUGUGGAUCCUAGUCAGCAUUCACUCAGGAACUCAACCUGUCUGUAUUUUUAGGUUAUCUUGAGAUUUCUUUCUAUUAUUUUGCAUGUAAGAGUGGUUCCCCUUUUUGCAGCUUCUUUUUCUGUCAAUGGCAAGCUAAAAACUCACAAUUGGAAAAUAUGACUAUUCAUUUGUUUAAUUAUCACAUAAACUAUUUUUUAAAAUUGGAAUCAGUCACCAACAAAUCCUGCUGGGCUGUUUCCUCUGUCUGGACUCCUCACCCACUGGGAUUUUUCCACUGAACUUUAUGACAUACAGUAGCCCCCACCUUAUCCAUGGGGGAUACAUUCCAAGAUCCUCAGUGGAUGCCUGAUGCCCCAAACAGAACCAAACCCUAUAUGUAAAUAAAUAAAUACACACACACACACACACACACACACUCACACAUAUUCUAGAACUUGAGCAUAUCUGUGAUCCACAAGGAGCACAAUUGUCUUGUUUUCUUGUAACAGACUCUACCACAAGACAUGAUACAGGGUUACACACCAUUUCUCUAAAUAUUCCAUUGAGAUAAAAGUUUGUAAUCAGAUGAUUCUUAAUCUGAUGUUACUUUGAUUGCUACACAGUUUAGUGUAGUGUUUGCUGAGAAGGCAACACAAUAAAAUAAAAGUAAAAUCAGAUUAAGAAUCAUCAGGAUUGCUGGGUGCGGUGGCUCAGUGCUGUAAUCCCAGCACUUUGGGAGGCCAAGGCGGGAGGAUUGCUAGAGUGUAUGAGUUCAAGACCAAUGUGAACAACAUGGGAAGACUCUGUCUCUACAAAAAAAUAUUAAAAAACUAGCCGGGUGUGGCGGCGCAGGCCUGUGGGCCCAGCUACUUGGGAGGCUGAGGUUGGGGGAAUGCUUGAGCCUAAGAGGUCAAGGCUGCAGUGAGCCAUGAUCACGUCACUGCACUCCAGCCUGAGUGAUAGUGAGACUCUGUCUAAAAAUCAAUAAACAAAAUUUAAAAAGAUAAAGAAUCAUGAGAAUGAAGUAUUUGAGGCAACUAAAAGCACAGGAAUCAUACAACUGUGUGGAAUGUAUAUAUUUUUUGCUUUCAACUUUAUUUAUCAAAUUUUCAAUGCUAUUGGUCCUUUCAGGAGUUGCUCCUUAGCUCCUCUAUUCUCAUAAGAAUGGAGGUGGGGAUGCUACUACUUCAAGAUCCACAUCUUUUUCCUGUCCCUUAUUCUCAUUAAUGAAUUACCUUAUUCAUCAAAUGUCUACUGAGCACCUAUUUAUCAUAGGCCCUUGGCCAGUCAUCGGAAACACAAGGAUGAAAAAAAAAAAAUCCCUCCGGCCAGGCACAGUGGCUCACACCUGUAAUCCCAGCACUUUGGGAGGCCGAGGCGAGUAGAUCACCUGAGGUCAGAAGUUUGAGACCAGCAUGACCAACAUGGUGAAAUCCCGUCUCUACUAAAAAUACAAAAAUUAGCCGGUCGUGGUAAUGUGCCCCUGUAAUCCCAGCUACUCGGGAGGCUGAGGCAGGAGAACCACUUGAACCCGGGAGAUGGAGGUUGUAGUGAGCCGAGAUGGCGUCACUGCACUCUAGCCUGGGAGACAGAGCAAGAUUCCGCCUCAAAAAAAAAAAAAAAAAAAAAAAAAAUCCUUGCCUGCCAUCAAACACUCUGUCUAGUUGUAAAGAGGUCGUGAGCAUGGUGACCCCACUUUUAUAAGUGCCACCAGGAGGGAGAGGGCAUGGGAGAGAAAAGGCUCAAGGGGGGUGCAGCCAGGCUUUUCUGAAGUGAGAGAAGCCUUCCCAGAAGACUUGAUGUAGGUAAAAGGCUGUUUAGAAACUUUCUAGAUUGUCGAGGGGAUGUGCAUAUUUCAGACAGAGCAAUAAUACCUACAGGGGCAGCAAUAAAUGAAAUACCCAAUAGUUUGGGAUGGACAGAGUGUAGAAUGUGGCGGUGGAGAGGGUGCUGAUAACAGUCCUCUGGGCCGGGCAUGGUGGCUCAUGUCUGUAAUCCCAGCACUUUGGGAGGCUGAGGCAGGAGGAUUGCUUGAGCUCAGGAGUUCAAGACCAGCCUGGGCAACAUAGUGAAACCUUGUCUCUACCAAAAAAUAAAAAUAAAAAAUUAUCUGGAUGUGGUGGUGCACACCUGUAGUCCUAGCUACUUGGGAGGCUGAGGUGAGAAGUUCCUUUGAGCCUAGGAGGUCAAGCCUGCAGUGAGCCAUGAUCACACCACUGAACUCCAGCCUGGGUGAGUUCAGUGGUGUGAACAUGACCCUGUCUCAAACCAACAACAACACCACCACAAAACCAAAUUAAAAAAAAAAUCUUCUAACUUCUCAGAGAAAAUAACAGCCAUGAGCAUAAGCACCCAAAGUCAUGAUGCAUCCCCAAAUGUGAUGAGACCUGUAUCCACAU